rnacentral:rRNA from 1 species
CAGCCGCCACGGUAAUACGAAGGGGGCUAGCGUUGUUCGGAUUUACUGGGCGUAAAGCGCACGUAGGCGGAUCGAUCAGUCAGGGGUGAAAUCCCAGAGCUCAACUCUGGAACUGCCUUUGAUACUGUCGAUCUGGAGUAUGGAAGAGGUGAGUGGAAUUCCGAGUGUAGAGGUGAAAUUCGUAGAUAUUCGGAGGAACACCAGUGGCGAAGGCGGCUCACUGGUCCAUUACUGACGCUGAGGUGCGAAAGCGUGGGGAGCAAACAGGAUUAGAUACCCGGGUAGUCCCUGUCUCUUACAC